rnacentral:tRNA from 1 species
AGGGGCGUAGCUCAGUUGGUUUAGAGCGUUUGAGUCACAUUCAAAAGGUCGUCGGUUCGAAUCCGACCGUCCCUACCA